rnacentral:rRNA from 1 species
AUUGAACGCUGGCGGCAGGCUUAACACAUGCAAGUCGAGCGGGGGAAGGUAGCUUGCUACCGGACCUAGCGGCGGACGGGUGAGUAAUGCUUAGGAAUCUGCCUAUUAGUGGGGGACAACGUCUCGAAAGGGAUGCUAAUACCGCAUACGUCCUACGGGAGAAAGCAGGGGAUCUUCGGACCUUGCGCUAAUAGAUGGGCCUAAGUCGGAUUAGCUAGUUGGUGGGGUAAAGGCCUACCAAGGCGACGAUCUGUAGCGGGUCUGAGAGGAUGAUCCGCCACACUGGGACUGAGACACGGCCCAGACUCCUACGGGAGGCAGCAGUGGGGAAUAUUGGACAAUGGGGGGAACCCUGAUCCAGCCAUGCCGCGUGUGUGAAGAAGGCCUUAUGGUUGUAAAGCACUUUAAGCGAGGAGGAGGCUACUCUAGUUAAUACCUAGGGAUAGUGGACGUUACUCGCAGAAUAAGCACCGGCUAACUCUGUGCCAGCAGCCGCCGUAA